UAUUUGUCUAUAAUUAUUUGCUUUUUAUAUUAUUGCCAAUAUUUUCCAAAUUUCUUCUUUUAUGUAUUUUUAUUGAGUCUUUAAAACAAAUAUAGAAUUAACACAAAGUUGCAUAUAAUUGCUACAAAAUAAGAUAUUAGACGGAGAAACAAAAGUGAAUAAUAAUAAUAAUAUAAUUGUAAAGUUUUCUUCAAUAGACUUUCAUCUUCUUUGAAUUUUCCUGUUUUGUUUAUUUUAACAGGGAACCCAAAUAAACUCCAACAAAACGUUUGCUGUUUCAAUAGAAGUCAUUGACUUCAAAAUAAAAGCAUAAAUUGUUCUUCAAAUUUAAAUUAUAACAUUGCUGGCAAUAAACAAAAAAUGUAUCACAUAAAUGCAACUCACAAUAAUAAAAAUAAAUAAAAAAAAGGAUAUCACACAAUUCUAACUACCUGUUUCCAUGUUAUGGAGAGCAACCCACUUUCUGUCUACUUCAACUUGUUUUAUUUUUUUCAAUAAUUUAAUUGAAAUGAUAGAAAGCAUACUUUUAAAAUUGUGCAAAACUGUUAUAAGUAGACGAUUACAAUGUUUCAUUUUUAUACAAAUUGAAUGUGUGUGCAUGUGGGAGACAUAUAUCUCAGCUCCGUCUGUGUAGGGCGCCGCUCAUUCGCUCUCGUGGCCGAGGCAGUUAGCUGAUUCAAAUUUAGGCCGUGACACGUCAGGUAAUCACAGACUGUGGUUCCCAGUGUUCCAGCCACUGGAGGUGGAGGAGAGGGGCCGGGGAAUGAUUGCCUGCUCCUGCCAGCAGACUCACCACGGUCUGCGUCUGAAGCCCGAGCCAAACCUCCUGCGUCCCAGCGGAGAGUGACAUUUUCUGCAAGUAGAGCUGCUCCUCUGUGCACACAGAGGAUGGAGCUCCAUCGUGGUGUUCUGCAGCCAGAACCUGUGCAAAUGGAGAGCUGGCUAGAAAAAGAAAAGUCCUCCCUUUCUUGGUGUGGAGGUUUACAGAAGAUUUUUCUAAAGGUUUGCUCACAUCAGUCCACGUUUAACAACUCCUGAGCUCCAUCCUGCAGACCGUCAGGAUCCUUCUGCAUCACCAUGGCGUCGCGCUCUCCUGUGGAAAUGAGUUAGUUCUUCUCAUAACUAAAGACUUCAGAUGAACAUCCAAACAGUCAGAUUGAGGCUUUAUAAAAGAUGAGAGAAACUCAGAGUUCAAGUUACCUCCAGAAACAUGAGGAGGAGACGACCAAGAAGGAGAACUUCCUGAGCGUCUGGUCUUCUCUUCAGGAAAUCUGCUGAUGGAAAGACGUGGAUUUAACCAAAGAACUGAGCAGCUUUCACACUGUCCAACUAUGGUGGAAAAGUCUGGUGGAUUUCAAAAACUCUCCUUUCUGCUCUCCUCAGUGCUCCUUCCUUCUUCGCCCGUUGUGCUGGAAUCAUCCUAGUUCCGCCCAAGACGCUGAACCAAAGCGGGACUAGGAAUAGAAGCUAAGAGAACAAAGAAUUUCCCUGAAUUGGGAGCUGCAACUUUGAAUGAAACAUUUUGUCAGAAAA